rnacentral:rRNA from 1 species
UGGGGAAUUUUGCACAAUGGGGGAAACCCUGAUGCAGCGACGCCGCGUGAUUUAGAAGGCCUUCGGGUUGUAAAAAUCUUUUCUAUGGGAAGAAAAUGACAGUACCAUAGGAAUAAGGACCGGCUAAUUACGUGCCAGCAGCCGCGGUAAUACGUAAGGUCCGAGCGUUGUCCGGAAUCAUUGGGCGUAAAGGGUACGUAGGCGGGUAAGCAAGUUAGAAGUGAAAUCCUAUAGCUCAACUAUAGUAAGCUUUUAAAACUGCUCAUCUUUAGGGAAGGAAAGGAAAGUGGAAUUCCUAGUGUAGCGGUGAAAUUCGCAGAUAUUAGGAGGAAUACCGGUGGCGAAGGCGAAUUUCUGGCCAUAACCUGACGCUGAGGUAAGAAAGCGUGGGUAGCAAACAGG